rnacentral:lncRNA from 1 species
CAAGGAGGGUAUUAUCCCAGAGCUUUCUCCCAAGAUACUCAAACCUGGUGGUUUGCAGGCAUGAGGUGGCCACCACCAAACUUUAGUCAGUCAAUAGCCAGCAGGCUCUGCAUGGGCAUCAGCCCUUGGACACAAAAGUGACUAAAAGGAGCUGCUAAAUGCCCCAGUAGGGCUUCUGAGAAGAAAGGGCAGCAGAGUACCAGGAGGAGAAGCCUAAAGAACAAAAUGCAUUUGCUGAUCCUGGGGGAGCUUGCAGUUUCUAUGCCCUUGAUACUGUUACCAAGCUGAGCAAGAGGGAGAGGAAGCAGUGCUCAGCGAGUAAGUCCUUGACCAGGCCUUCUGUAGCCUGAGAUUUGCCACAAGCUGUUUCAGCCCCAGCUGUUGCAAGCAGGAUGAGCAAGCCAGAAUAUUCACCUGGCCAUCCACUCCAGUAGUGACAAGAAUUCCCGUCUUCUUCCCUUUCACUCUGCACUGGGAAGUAUGAGAAGAUGAUCAGAAGAGGAGCAGAAAGUACUCCAUUAUCCAGCACCAACCAUCUGAAGACUUUGGUGUCAGGCCCCUCUUCUGUAAGGCUGCUGCUGUUGGCUGGGGUUCCAUUCCAGGCCCUAUUUGCCUGGUCCUUCCCGCACUUGAAGGUGUCACGCAUGGAGGCUGCAGAACAGCACAGAUGGCUGCCUGCUCCUUCCUCUGGGAUCUCUGUCCACACAGAGCACUGACCUGAUGCCAGUGGAAACACUACUGUGUAAGGUUGUACAGAUCUAUGGAAAAGCCAAGCUGCCCUGACAGGGUAGCACAACCUCUCACUGCCUCCCUUGGCUGCCAGUAGGAGCUCCCCUUUCCCUCUGUGGAUCUCAGGCAAAAGAAGAUAAUGCUCUUUCUGGUGACCAAUCACUCAGUUGGAUAACUUGAGUUGACAUAUGGAUACCAUGCCAGAAAAGGACUCUAACUUCAGAAAUCAAAACCAACUGGGACUAUUAGGUGAUGUAACAGCAGUAACUGAGUCUCCUUAAUGACCAAGUAGGGACUGGGAGGUGGCAAGAUAUAUUGCAUCCAAGCUGAGAACUUAAGAAAACUACCCAUAAUGACAUCACAAUUAUAUGUGUUGCUUCAAUUAUUAGUUUACUCAAUCACCAGUUCCCAGAAGAUAUUAUUGAAAGGGUUACAUUAUUGAAAUGCUAAACAAAGGUGGUACUUGGUACCAUAUGUACUUGAGAAAACAAAAUCUGACUGGUAGGAAAUUUUUAUGCGUGCCAUUCCUCUUUGAACUUGACAUUAGGUCUGUUUGUUACACAAGAAUAUAUCUGAGUCCUGUCUGAGAUAAAGGAUACUACUCUGAAGAUGCAAAGAAUAUGUGGACCUUAAGCUGGCCUUACAAUACUCUUUUCUUGUUUUAACGUAUUGCAAGUCAAAUUUAGCCUGACAUUUUAUCAGAUUGUUUAAUUUCAGGAAUAUGCAUCCAAUCAUUCUGAUGGCUCUUUCUUUAAAAUUCUCCAUGAUUUUUUCUUUUUUUUUUAAAUUAAGUUGGCAGAACAGAGAUCCAACCCUUAUUUUCAGUAAAAUCAAAGCAAUUGCUGAUUAGAAAAAAGGGAAGAAACAUUCAAACCUCAUGAUGAUAGAUGAUAUUACCAACCUUGAGCUUCAUAUAGUUACCCCCUAAGUUCCUUAGCAAUGGAUAGAUUGAAGCAUCCUUUAAAUCCCGUUCCCUUUUCUAGUUUGAGUAAUUGUUACAAUGAGAUUGCCUAGCGUAUUUGUCUCCAGAAGUCACAUGUACCAUAUCUUCAGGCAUCAAAACCUUGGUUUGCAUAUGCAAAAUGUCCCAAAUUUGAUAUAGUUCAGAAUCACAUACAAAAGUUAUGAGGCCCUAGUGUAAAACUUCUGGAAUGGUGGAAUGAAAAUCUUUAUAAAUCAGCUCCUCAUAAAGCAAUUAAAUUUCUGGCAACAUUGUCAAAAUCAAAAUUUUCACAACUCAGGAAAUUAAAAACAAAAUCAAUAGACACUGUCUCAGCAGGCAUCCAGAUGCUGGACUUAGUAUACAAGACUUUACAUUUGACUCUUAUAAAUAUGUUUGAAGAGCUAAGAAAACAUUGCCUAAAAUAUGACAAUGAUGUCUCACCAAAAAGAGAAUCCUGGUUAAGAGACAGAAAUUUGUAAAAGAACCAAAUAUGCAUUCUUGAAAAAUGAGGCAUUACCAAUCUUAUAAAAAUAAAAUGAAUUAUAACAAAAUAAUAUGACACAUCAAAAUCAUCACUAUCCAAAGACAAAUACAAAGAGAGGAUUUUGAAAGCAGCAAAAGUGGAGACUCAUCACAGACAAGAGAUCCUUAAUAUGAUUAGCAGGUAUUUAUAACCAGAAACCAUGAAGGCUGUAAGGAAGUGGGAAAACAUAUUUAAAAUGAAGAAAAAUUUUAAAAAUCAGGAAUUCUCUACUCAGCUAUUAUCCUUGGAAAAUGAAACAAAAUUAUCCUUGGAAAAUGAAACAGAAAUUAAGACAUUCCUGCCACUAACAGAUAUUCCCUACAGGAAAUACUAGUGGGAUCUCAUCAAGCCAACAUGAAAGUAUGCCUGAAUCCAAAUGAUAAAAUUAAGCAUAUCAGUGUGGCAGGCUGAAUAAUAGCCCCUAAAGAUAUCAAUUUCUUAACCCCUAGAACCUGUAAAUGUCGCUCUAUUUGACAAAAGGACUUUGCAAUGUGUUUAAAUAAAGAAUCUUGAGAUGGAAAAAGUAUACUAGAUUACUAGGUAGGCUCUAAUUAUAAUCACAAGUAUUUUUAUAAGAGGCUCUAAUUAUAAUCACAAGUAUUUUAUAAGGAAGACUCGACUACAUAGGCUGAGAAGGCAAUGCGAUGAUGGAAAACAGAUUGGAAUGAUGCGCUACGAAGACAAAGGAAGAGGCCACAAGCCAAGAAAUAGGGUGGGCCACUAGAAGCUGAAAAACUCAAGGAAAAAGAUUCUCACCUCAGAGCCACUAGAAAGAACUGGGCCUGCCAAGAAAUGUACUUUGGCCAGGGAAACUGACUUCAAGCUUCUGAUCUCCAGAAAUGGGAUAGAACAAAUGUAUGUUGUUUUAGGCCACCAACUUUGUGGCAAUUUCUUGCAGGUCAAUAUAGAUAAAUAUAAAGGAGAGUAAGUAUAAAUAUAUAUUUGUAACUCUUCUGUCCGAUUUAAAAGGUAGCUGUAUAAAGCAAUAACUAUAAAAACUCUGUUGGGUUCUACUGUAUAAAAUUGCAAUAUGUAUUACAGAAACAGCACUAAGGAAAUUGAAAGGAAUGGGGCUAUAUGGAAAAAAUUCUGUAUACUACUGAAAUUAAAUUAGUAAUAAAACUAGAUUUUUUUUUGUUAAGAUGCUAAUUGUAAUACCCAAGGCAACGACUAGGAAAAUAACUAAAAUAUACAGAAUUAAAGAAACAACAACAUAAUUAAAAUAGUAAACUAGAACAUACCUAGUUGACAUUCAAAAAUUCAGUAGUGUAGAAAUGGAGAAACAAAAAAGGCAGGACAUAUAGAAAACAAUCGGAAAAUAGAAGACAUGAGUCCUAAUUUAUCAGUAAUUAUAUUAAAUUAUCUCAUUGUUUCUUUUAUUCAUAUUUUUAAUUAUUAUCUUAGUGGCUGCCUUGAAUAUUAUAAUUAGUAUCUAUAUAUCACCACAUGAAGUAAAUCUAAAUUAAUGUUGACUGUACAAAAUACUCUUACUGUCCUAUCAGGUUUAAAAUACACAUAAAAAUAAAAUAUGUCACAAGAACACCACAGGUGAUGGUGAAAUGAAAUAAAAAUAUUUUAGUAUCUCAGUAUUGCCUGAGGUAAUAAAAGAAUAAAGUUUAGGUUUCCACUUGGGGAAACAUAAUGAUAUAAUUUCUGGGGUAUUUUUGAAAGAAAUUUUUUUAAAGUAUAAAUAAUCUGCAAAUAGAAAAGAUAAUGGAUUAGCAAAAAAAAAAUACUUCAUUAAUCUAAUAUGAGACAAGAAAGGAGACAAAAAGGGGAAUAAUGGGACAAAUAAAAAGUAAUAAAUGGUAGAUAUGUAACCAAAUAGAUCGAUGAUUACAUAACAUGUAUACGAACUAUUUUACUAAAAAGAAAAUCAUUAGACUACAUAAAGUAUAAAACUCAACAAUAUGAUGCUUACAAGAGACAUCAUUAAUUAAAAGGCAGAAAUGUUUUGAAAUAAAAUCUAUGGAAAAAGAACAAAACAUACCAUUCAAACACUGACCAAAAGACAAAACCGAUUUCAAGGUAAGAAAUAUUGCUAUAGAUUGAGAGCAAUGUCAUAACAAUAAAAUGAACAAGUCACCAAAAUAAUAUAUCAAUUCUAAAUUGCCACAUACCUCAUAAUAUAUCAAUUCUAAUAUAUCUAAUAUAUUGCCACAAGCCUCAUAACAAGCUUAUAAAUAUUUAAGCAAAAGUUACAACAUUAAAAAGUGACUUUAACAUAUUUCUCUUGGUAAACAUAAAAGCAUUUGCCUCAGUGUAUCAAAGCAACUAUACCAAGAACCAGCGUGAUUGAAAUAUGACAUCAAAAUUAGAGAUAAGGAGCUGAUAAAACUUGCUUAGAUUAUAUGAAAAUAUUGUGAAUACCUUUUAGGUUUAAGUAUAUUUUGCUUUGUUUUAAAGCCUGGAAUAGAGUUCAAGACACAGAGUCACUUAUAUUAGAUGCAGUGAUUUUACAAUCUCCCUGCGGGAGCUUAAUGCCUUGAUCAGCUACUUAUAAACAUGAGUAGAAUAAUCCAGGAAAUUAGUCGUGCUGUUAUUUUCUUAUUUGUAUUACUUUAUAUGAAGACUCAACACAGUACCUGGCAAAUAAAAAUUAUUAAAUAAAUGUUAUUUGCCUAUUUUUAUCUCAUUUACCCUUCACAAUCACACUAAGAUUUCUUAUGUUAAUUUUAAAAAUAAAGAAACUGAGUCACAUGGCAGAAAAUUAGCAAAAGUCACAU